rnacentral:lncRNA from 1 species
UGCUGGUAAACGUGGUAACAAGCAAUUGAAGAAGUCUGAAUGAAGUUUACAUAUAUAGGAUAUAUCAUCAUCACCUGCAAAAACAAAAAUAAAAACAAAAGUCAGUUCCUACAAUUAAAACUUCCCCUUUAACUAAACAACAAAUUCGAAAUUUUGCAAAAACUCACCAUACAGGAUCUCAUUUUUGAUAGAGUCCUAGCACAAAACGAACAGUGAUGGAACUUCACUCAUCUCUACGCCUUUGACUAUUUAGAAAUUAUAGAGCUGAAAUACAAAGUAUGAAUGUAAGAAUUUGAGUUCAAAAUAAACAACAGAAGAUCAAACACAUACAUAACCGAAGAACAUAUAAACACAUUCAGAAUAUUUACAACAGCAACAAUUAAGCAAAUUUAAAGACCUUCAUUCUAUAGAUGAACUCUGAAAAUUGAAAGUACCCAGAACAAUUAACUCAUCUAGAGUUUUUAUCAGAAAUUCAUUUAACUUCUUUAGCAUAUCUCAUGUCUUUUACUGCAUUAGACUUAACAAACCAGUACAAAAGAACCAUUGUACCACAUUGAAACGCAAGCAUGGAUGAUCCAUUGGAAUAAGACAAAAAUACAAGUCCACUGAACAAAAUAUGCAAUAUAAAAGAAAGGAAAUCGCUGGAAAGAGUAACAUCUCAAGUUAGUCAGGAGAAUAGAGAAAUAGACAAACUGGAAAUUACGAGAUAUACACAUCCAUAGAACAAAACCACCUUUUUCUUCUGAAUAUCCUAGUCUCCCCUAUUUCUAAUAUCGUAUCAAGACCAGUGUAUGGUCUUAACCUCAACACUGGGCAGACUCAUUCUCUCUACAAACGUAUAAAAUCUUGAACUAGAACUCUCACUAAAUUCAUAAUCACCAAUAACCUCAAAUUAUUAAGGAAAACAAAAAACAUAGGCAUAAUUAGUACAUUUUCAACAGAGAAGGGCAAUUCUUGUGAUGGGCAAACAAAGAGGAAAAGAACAAAGAAGAAAUUACGGUUCCAAAUUGAGAAAAAGAAGAGAAAUUAACUAGAAGUUACAAUUUGUGAGAAAUAUAGAUAAGUUUUCUAUAACAAGCUAUUACAGAAAUUUACGGUAUAACAUACCAGCGACAAUUUGAGAGCUGAGAGUUUCAAUUUGAGAGAGGACAACUUCAAUUUCAGAGAAAAGAGUUUCAAUUUCGAGACCAGUGGCAAGGUAGCGACGAGGUAGCGGCGACGGCAAGGCAGGGAGACAAGGCGGCGACAAGAUAGACUAUUUGGGAUUUGGGGUUUUGGGUUAGGCUAGAGACAGAGCGAAAGAGCGAGAGAGCCACUGCCAGAGACUAAUUUGGGUAAUUAUUGUCGAGCAGUCGUGCAGCCUUACUGUUUUAGCCUUUUAAGUAAAAAAAAUUUAUAUGCUAGGAAGGAAAGGUAAAACCCAAAUUGAUCUAUGUUAAGUUUUAUGCGACUAUUCCAAAAAAAAAAGAGCUUGAUAAUACUUAAGAAAAAAUUAUUUUAAAAGUAAAAUUAUAUGUAAAAUUAUUAUUUUAAAAAUUUAAACAUAAAUCUAAAUUUAAAUGUUAGGAUAUUAUAAAUUAAUUAUAACAAAUUGAAAUAUAACUUUUUUGUAGAAUAAAAAAGAAAUAUUUUAAUAUAUGUAAUAUGUUCUACAAAAAGAGUCAUAAUUAUUAUAAUUUUGUUUAUUUUCAAUUUAAUAUAUUUUAAAAUUUAAAUUAUUGUAACUUAAUAUUUUAAUAAGGCUCAAAUCCUACCCCCUCUCGAAUUAGCAAUAAAAAAAAUUAACUCUUUCUGUAGAACAUGAGUAUUUUUUUGGUAUUUGUAUUCUAUUCCACAAAAAUGCGUCACUAUUUUCUUCUUUUUUCUCUUUUUUUUUGGGUCAUGAUCAAUGUAUGAAAUUUAAAAGUUUUAACGUAAUGUAAAGUUAUUUAUUUUAUAAUUUAUUCAAAGAAAUAGUUGAUUUUAUAAGUUACUUAAAAAGUGUAAUUAUUAUACGUAAAUUUACUACUGUAAAAAAAUUAAUGUAUUUAUAUUAUAAUUUAUAUUCACCACAAUUAAUUAAAAAAAAUUAUUUAGAACAAGAUAGCGACUAAUUUUAUCCCUCGCAAAAAACUUCUGAAUAAUGAUAUAUAGUGAGUAAUAAUUCAUUCACUAAAUAGAUUUUUUCCUCGCAAGUUUUCAUCAUAAAUUGGCUCCAAAAAUCUUUUUAUCACCCCAAUUUUGCGAGGGGAAAAAUAUAAAUUGUGAAGGAUGUUUCUUUCGCUAAUAACUAUAUUGUCACUAUACUUUUUUCCUUCACUGUUCCUUCGCUAAACAACUCCUCAUGUGAAGGAAUAAAUUCCUUCACAAAAUUUUCUUCGCUAGAGGUUAUUUUUGGUGUAGUGGCACGUUAGGCAACUAAGAAUCCUAUUCUAACUCAAAUUGGACAUCAAAUAACCCAAAUCAACUCUUUUCCCGCCGCCUAGCAUGCUCCACGCUGUCCCUAAGUCAUUUAUAGCGCGGUCCGCGCUACUGUAGCAAUGGAACUGGUGGCCUAACACGCCCCUAGCGCGGUCCGCGCUACUCUGUUUUCUGCUGCGACGUCCUUUGAUAAAAUAGGCAUAACUUUUUAUUCGCUUGGAGUUACGGGACCUGCCACUUAUCGAAUCGAAGAUAUCGACGAGAUCUAUAACGUUCAUUCUUUGAGGAUUGACAAAUUCGAGUUGGAUCAAGGCGGAAAUCAGGCUUGAAGUAGAUGCUAUGUAAAUGGCAAACAUGACAACUCUUAGCUUUGAUCUUCGUUGAUAAAAAAAACCAUAACUCUCACAUCCGAACUCCGAUUGGGAUGAUUCAAGAUGUUCCGGAAAGCUAAGAGGAAGCUCUACAAUAAAAUCCAAGUUUCAAGCCAAGAACAUGCAUCCAACUUGGUGUUAACAGUCCUUCAAUAUUUCCUUCUUACAUUUGCUUGCAUAUUUUAGUCCAAAAGAUGUCCGAAUUGCUUAUCCUUGCUUCUUUAUGCCAAUGUUAUGUCAUAGCCUUCAAAAUAACAUAAAAUGUAUGAAAAGUACCUAAGACACAUGAAUAUAAGUAAAUAAUUCAAGUAAUAGAUACCGGAUAAGUAGGUAUAAAAUCUACUUAUCAGUGAGUUCGGUGAGUUGGAUAAGGGGUGAGCUUAAGAUCCGAACUCUCUCUCUCUAUAUAUAUAUAUUAUAUAUAUAUAUGACAUGAAUUAUACUCUUUUCGCCCAAAUUAUGUGUCCAAUUCUAACUUCUUUUUUUGGUCAAAUCGACUAACUUUUAUACGUUCUUGAACAAAAAUACAGGUGAAAGGAUUAUGAAGAUAAGAAACUACAUACAAUUUGCUAACCCCGAUUUUAUAAUUUCAGAAUUGAAUUUAUAUAUGGUUAAAUAUUAAUUCUAAAAAUAGUGAACAAAAAAUUCAAAACUGGACAGUUAUUUUAGGACGGAGGGAGUAUAUAUAUGAAUAUAUCUGUAACUACUCUUCGGGUGCAUUUUUAACAAAGUGCAAAAAAUGAUAUCUUUUAAUUUUUAAUUUUAUUAUUUUUUAUUUCUUACAGUUAUUAUCCUCUAGUUAAUAAUUUUGUUUGUUCACAUGUUGAGAUAAGAAAAUUAAAUUUUGAAUUUUGAAUUUUUUUAAUUGGGGAAACUGUAGUAUCAACCAUGUCCGGAGAUGAAGCAGAAAAUGGAAGAGAUGACAUGCUUAUCGAUGCAAUCAAACCAUUGCAGGGGCAAAUCAAUGCGAUUCCAGAGGGCUUCAAUAUGAAUUACCUUAAAGUAUAUUAUGGUAAUUAUUUAUAAUAUUCAUAUCGAGUUUUCAUAAUUCUGGGUUGAUAAUAUUUGUUGAUUAAUGAUUACGUAUGAUUCAAUAAUUCUUCUUCUAUAGUGGCAGAAAUAAGUCUUUUAUGAAUUAUCACUUAUUGAGCAUAUUAUUCCUCUAAGAUUUGUUCUUUCAUUUCCUAAAUGACUGAUGUUUAAUAAUCUAACAUAGUUUGAUGAGAAUAAUAAUGUGCCACAUCAGACAAAUCAAGCCUUGUGGUUCUGAAUACAGCUCGAGGGCUACUCUAGUUAUUGCCAAUUGGUUUUACUUUUUGUUGAAUCAAAAGUUUAUGUUUAGAUUAAUACUCCCUUCAUCCAAAAAUGGGUGUCCAUUUCCCUUUUUGCACUCUUCAAAGAUAUGGUCCAUUUUCUAAAAAUAGAUGAAAAAGUGAAAUAAUGUUUCAAAUUACCUUUAAUUAGAUUGAUAACCCUGCAAGGCACGAGUUAAUAUCGAUAGUAUAAUUUAAAAUUGUAUACUAUUUGGUACCAUAAUUUGAGUAUAAAUAGUAUAGUAUGGAUGGUAGUAAUACAUUGAACAUAAAAUUGAAAAGUUAUAUGUAUAUCGAAAUUAUUUUAUAUGUUUUUUAAUACAUGCAUGUACACCCUUAGAAUAAUACAAUAAAUGAUACCAAAAGUUUGACAUAAUUAUUAACAUGACAUACAUACACUGUAUCAGUAGAGGUGAUGAACUCGGGACUAACUUGGAUUAACUCGAUGACCAACCAAAUUGACUAAGUUAAUUUGGAUAAGAUCUUCGUUUGCUUUGUUAUAUAUAGUAAUAGAUGAAAGGUGCUAAACCUUAUUUUUAUUUAAAUAUCAAUAUUAUUAUUUAAAUUUAUCAAUAUAGCCAACCCCAACUAGUUUUGGACUAAGACUUAGUUGACCUGAGUUGAGAUGAGUUGUUUAAUAUUUUUAUUUAAAAUUAAUUAGGAGAUUAAAUUUGAAGUUGUUGACUUUUCCUAAAAUGCAUGAUUUUAUGAGUGGACUCUAAAUAUUUGGAUGGAGGGAGUAUGCUAAAAUAUGAUAAGGCUAUAUAUUGUGUAAAACAACACUCGUAAAUUGUAAUGAUCUAUUACAAUAUUGCAACACUUGUGGAAGACCUCCUUGGUUUUGGUAUGUUGAAGAACUGAGAAUGCUGUGGAGUUAUUAUGAAGCCAUCUGUAAUGCCUCUUCAAUGUAAAUUGAGUUCUAUGUUACACAGAAAUUCGAAGACUAAAUCAUACUUUAACAUGGCCAUAUUGUGGUUGUAUUUAAGUUAUGAGGGAUCAUAUAGUUUCUUUAAUGACCUUCAAUGUAGGAUAAUAAAAAAUCUACAAUAAAUACUCUACGAUAAGGUACUGAUAAUUAAUCGCUAUGUUUUAUGUUUCUGACUAUAAUUUAAUCUUGCUAAUAUUUUUCAAGUCUUGUCCGGAGAAUGACUUUUUGAGUAAGAUGGUGUUAAGUGUACAUUAUAACAUCAUGGUAAUUUCAACUUUUGACAGGAAAGCUUUUUCCGCUUGCUGAUAUCUUCAGAUGGAUGUCCUAUGGAAAUGGUAGUCCAAGUUCCUGACCGACAUGUUUUUAGUUUUAUCUCAUUAGUUUCUCAAUUCCAUGAUCAUGUCUUGGUUUUUAUAUGUAGAUGGAAAGCAUCCUGGGUGUGACCAGUCAUUCUUCGGGCUUAGAGAAUUUUCAUUCACAUUGGAUAAUGACAUAUAUCUACGGUUUCAAUCUUUUAAUAGUGCAUCUGAACUGGAAAAUUCCAUCAAAGAGAAGUGUCCAUUCAAAUUCGAUAUUGGUCCCGUAUAUAGUGUUGAUGUAAGCCUUCUGAACUUGAGAUUCUUGUGCACUUGAAAGUUAAUUGUUUAUUUAUUUAUACUCAUAAGUAAACUUAAAAAUUAAUUUUACCUAAACGAGUGUCAUGGGUGACUAUUAUUUGGCUCUUGCAUCUACCACAUGCGUGCUUUUGUUCAAGAAAAACACACUCUGCUGGCUGAUGAUCUAUAUACUGCAAGUGUCAACCAGUUCUAUUAAUUAGUAUCCUUAAAGAAACACUUUAAAGUUGACCAUACUCAUCAUGAUAUUUUUUUGCUUCUUCAUGAUACGCCUUGUCCAGUUAAAAUCAACUCUAUAUGAUAGUGCUCUUAUGCCUAUCAAAGUGAGAAGUUUUUUCUAGGAGUCGUACAUAUACUAUCUUAAACAGUAUAUCUUGAGUGUGCUUUCAAAUGUAGUAGAAAAUAGUUUUGCUUCUCUUUCGCGAAGGUCUACCUAUGUUAUAUAAUCUUUUAAUCUUGAAUGCAGCCAGUGAAGAGACAUGCAUACAAGGGCGGAGCCAGGAAAUUUUUCCGUCCUGGGCUACCAAGUUGGCUGCUUUGUGAUUUUAUAUCUCCCAACCUACAUAUCCGAUUGCUUCCAAAUUUUGAUAUGUUCUACAUGGUAUAUCAUAGUAUUUUAUAAAAAUAUAGCAUGACCAAGUUGGGUUUUUUAAGAUGGUAUUACAUAGGCUUGAAAAUGCCAUGCUGACCACUUUUUUUUCAUCAAAUUCAAGUUUUUAGAAAUUCUUUAAAACUUGAUUUGGGCUUGAUUUGAUUCACUCAAUUAACUUAAUUAACAUCAUAACACAUAUAUAAAGAUAUCCUAGCAUCAAGCUUUGCUAAAUUUUCGAUUUUUAAGCAUAAAUUCUUAUUGAGGCAAAAUUUCAAACAUCUUGUGUGUGACUUAAAUUUCCAGAUUUCUUAGUUGUUUAGAUAUAGUUCUAGCCAUAAUUUUCAAUCUUAUCACUCCAAUGUCCUGCAUAAUACUUUGUUCACACUAAUUUACAACCCAAGCACAAGAAUCUCAAUAAUUACAAUAUAUUAUUACUCUAAUUUUCAUAAACUUAAUAAGUAGAAGUUAUUACCUCUUGUUUGAAGAAUUUGUGCUUCACGUUUGCUUGUAGAUUAACUUUGAAUAUUCUCUUUGAUAACGAUUACUCUAAUCCUUCUAUCCUCUCUAACAGUCAUAUGUGAAGAGAAAGAAAAAACCUACGACUUAAACAAGGUAGAGAGUUGAUUCAUGUUCUAAAAUUACAUAUUGAAGAUAAAUUCAUGUUCAAAAUCAUUACCUGAAAGGGCUUGGUCGAGCAAUUGGAGAAGAAUUACACCACCGCCUACCAUGGCUUCACCGCCGCUCUCCGAAAUCACCUGGGCUACAGCCCACCCCAGCUCAAGUGUGGCUCCGCCCCUGCAUGCAUAUGCUGGAGAUAAUAUUUUUACUCCAGUGGAGAGGGAGUUAGUUUUUGACAUAGUAAGUUGAAUGAGUUCUGAAUAAACACAACAAAAUGAAUUUUACAGAUACAAAUUUAUUUUAAUUUGAUAUGUUUGAAUCAUAUUUGUACAACAGGAUAUGACAGAUUAUGAUGAUGUUAGAUAUUGCUGUUUAGGAGCCGAUGUUUGCUUGGACUGUUGGCCACUAAUGACAGUUGCCAUUAAAGUACUUGAUACUGCCCUGAGAGGUGUUUAUUUCUUGCUAUUGUGAUGUCUGUCAAAGGUUUAAGUAGUUAAAU